rnacentral:rRNA from 1 species
UACGGGGGGGGCAAGCGUUGUUCGGAAUUACUGGGCGUAAAGGGCUCGUAGGUGGCCAACUAAGUCAGACGUGAAAUCCCUCGGCUUAACCGGGGAACUGCGUCUGAUACUGGAUGGCUUGAGUUCGGGAGAGGGAUGCGGAAUUCCAGGUGUAGCGGUGAAAUGCGUAGAUAUCUGGAGGAACACCGGUGGCGAAGGCAAUCCCCUGGACCUGUACUGACGCUCAUGCACGAAAGCGUGGGGAGCAAACAGG